UGCAGUCGAGCGGACCGACGGGAGCUUGCUCCCUUAGGUCAGCGGCGGACGGGUGAGUAACACGUGGGUAACCUGCCUGUAAGACUGGGAUAACUCCGGGAAACCGGGGCUAAUACCGGAUGCUUGAUUGAACCGCAUGGUUCAAUCAUAAAAGGUGGCUUUUAGCUACCACUUGCAGAUGGACCCGCGGCGCAUUAGCUAGUUGGUGAGGUAACGGCUCACCAAGGCGACGAUGCGUAGCCGACCUGAGAGGGUGAUCGGCCACACUGGGACUGAGACACGGCCCAGACUCCUACGGGAGGCAGCAGUAGGGAAUCUUCCGCAAUGGACGAAAGUCUGACGGAGCAACGCCGCGUGAGUGAUGAAGGUUUUCGGAUCGUAAAACUCUGUUGUUAGGGAAGAACAAGUACCGUUCGAAUAGGGCGGCACCUUGACGGUACCUAACCAGAAAGCCACGGCUAACUACGUGCCAGCAGCCGCGGUAAUACGUAGGUGGCAAGCGUUGUCCGGAAUUAUUGGGCGUAAAGCGCGCGCAGGCGGUUUCUUAAGUCUGAUGUGAAAGCCCCCGGCUCAACCGGGGAGGGUCAUUGGAAACUGGGGAACUUGAGUGCAGAAGAGGAGAGUGGAAUUCCACGUGUAGCGGUGAAAUGCGUAGAGAUGUGGAGGAACACCAGUGGCGAAGGCGACUCUCUGGUCUGUAACUGACGCUGAGGCGCGAAAGCGUGGGGA
rnacentral:rRNA from 1 species